AAAAAAUAUGGCGACUAAGAAACACUUAAUGUCAACAAGAUUUUCUGAUUGACAAGAGAAAAGGUCAAACAGGAACUUCAAUUGUGAACAUUGCAGAGAACACACCCAUCAGAAGAUGACCCUCAGAAAUAGGACAAUUAAUGAAUAAAAUGGACAGAGGCAGAAGUGAAGAAGAUGCAUGAAAUGAGGAAUAUUUCAAAGAUUGCCUGAGCAUAACCACUGCUACUGGAUAAACAUAUGGCAAUAUAAAAGAGCAGGGUCAAUGGAGGUAUCAUACAGUAUAGGCCAUGAGAGACCCUGAAGAAGAAAGUAUUGAACAGAAACAAAAAUAAAACCAUUUUGACAUU